UCCCGGGGAGGGGACCCACCUAGCUCCGGAAGCCUGGGGUGGGGGGACAGUUCAGCCUAAGCUGCUAACACGCCAGACCCCUGGGCUGCAGAGCCGGAGAACUGGCUUCCAGUUCCACAUUCCCCAGAAGUACUGGCUCCCCGGCUGGCCUUGGAUAGCUUUCUUUCCCUAACCUCAUUUUUCUCUGUAAAAGGGAGAGAUUGAAUCCAAUGGUCUUUUAAACGUCCCUUCCAGCUCUGACGGGCCACAUUCGCUCAUUUGUCAAAUAUUCACUGAACAGAGUUCUGCACUCGGGCCUUAGGAGAAUAAGGCAGAGCACAAGCUCUAGAAAGGGUUAAGACACGAAACAGAAAAUUAGGCUGCCCAGUAACUAUGUCUGUUAGAGUGAGGAGGGAGAAACAUGUAUCUGAGAAAGCUUCCUGAAAUAGUCUUUGAGAAGUUUGAAGGUAGAGUUUGGGCUCUUCCCAGCUCUGCCAUCCUAUCUUUGAAGACCCCUCUCUACGCUAACAUUCUGUCCUCCUUUCCUUGACAUCCUAUGUUCUGAGGUCCUUCCUACCUCUGAUGUUUCGUGUUCUAAGAUCCCUCUCGCCCCUAACAUUUCCUUCUCUACCCUAAGACUCUAUGUUUUUCUAACUCUGAUAUCCUGUGUUCUAAGGCUUCCUCUAUCCUAACAUUCUGUGUUCCCUUCUAACUCUUCCAUCCUAUAUUCUUAGGUCUCUCCCAGUUCUAAUGUUCCAGUUCUAAAGCCCCUCUCUGCCUGGAUAUGCUGUAUUCUCCUGACUCUGAUAUCCUAUGUUCUGAGGUCCCUCUCAAUUCUGAUGUUCCAUGUACUUUUUUGUUUGUUUGUUUUUGCUGAGGCAAUUGGGGUUAAGUGACUUGCCCAGGAUCACACAGCCAGGAAGUGUUAAGUGCCUGAGGCCAGAUUUGAACUCAGAUCUUCCUGACUUCAGAUAUCCUCAUACUUUAAAAAAAAAUUAUUGUUUUAUCUUAUUUAUUUAUUCUUAUUACACAUUGCUUUAUGGAUCAUGUAGGGAGAGAAAAAUCAGCAAAAGGGAAAAGCCAUGGGAGAGAGAAAAAAAAACAACAACAGAAAAAAGAAGUGAGCAUAGCACGUGUUGAUUUACAUUCAGUCUCCUUAGUUCUUUUCCUAGAUGCAGAUGGCAUCUUCUAUCCAGAGUCUGUUGGGAUUGUUUUAGAUCGCUGAACUACUAAGAACCAAGUUUUUCACAGUUGCUCAUCACACAUUGUUGCUGUUAUUGUGUACAAUGUAUUCCUAAUUCUACUUGUUUCCCUCAGCAUCAGUUCAUGUAAAUCUCUCCAGGCCUUUCUAAAAUCAGCUUGUUCAUCACUUUUUAUAGAACAAUAAUAUCCUGUUACCUUCAUGUACUACAACUUGUUUAGUCAUUCUCCAAUUGAUGGGCAUCUACUCAUUUUCCACUUUUUUGCCACCACAAAAAGAGCUGCUACAAGCAGUUUCGCACACAUGGGUCCUUUUUCCUCCUUUAUAAUUUUCAUGGGAUACAGACCCAGUAAUGGCACUGCUGGGUAAAGAGUAUGCCUUUGGGUAUAGUUCCAAAUUGCUCUCCAGAAUGGUUGGAUCAUUUCACAACUCCACCAGCAUUGCAUUAGUGUCCCAGUUUUCCCACAUCCUCUCCAACAUUUAUUAUUACUUUUUCCUGUCAUCUUAACCAAUCUGGGAAGUGUGAGGUGGUACCUCAGAGUUGUUUUAGUUUGCAUUUUGCUAAUUUUUUCAUAUGACUUUUAAUUUCAUCAUAUGAAAAUUGUUCUUAUCCUUUGACCAUUUAUCAAUCGCAGAAUAAUUUGUAUUCUUAUAAAUUUGACACAGUUCUUUAUAUAUUUUAGAAAUAUUGGCUAUAAAGGUUUUUUCCCCAGCUUUGUAGUUCCCUUUUGAUCUUUUUUUCUAUUGGUUUUGUUUGUGCAAAAACUUUUAAUUAGAUAUAAUCAAAGUUGUCUAUUUUGCCUUUUAUAAUUCUCUAGUUCUUCUUUCUUCUAAGGUUCUUCUCUGUCCUGACAUUCCUGUUUUCCUGACUCUGACAUCCUUUGUUCCAAGAUCUGUCCCAGCUCUGAUGUUCCAUGUUCUAAGAUCACUCUCUGCCUUGAUAUUCCUGUUCUCCUCUGACACUGUAUGUUCUGAGGUCCCUCCCACUCUGAUGUUCCAUGUCCCACAGCCCCUCUCUGCCCUGAUAUUUCUGUUCUCCUCUGACACUGUAUGUUCUGAGGUUCCUCCCACUCUGAUGUUCCAUGUCCCACAGUCCCCCCUGCCCUGAUAUUUCUGUUCUCCUCUGACACUGUAUGUUCUGAGGUCCCUCCCACUCUGAUGUUCCAUGUCCCACAGCCCCUCUCUGCCCUGAUAUUCCUGUUCUCCUCUGACACUAUGUUCUGAGGUCCCUCCCACUCUGAUGUUCCAUGUCCCACAGCCCCUCUCUGCCCUGAUAUUCCUGUUCUCCUCUGACACUGUAUGUUCUGAGGUCCCUCCCACUCUGAUGUUCCAUGUCCCACAGCCCCUCUCUGCCCUGAUAUUCCUGUUCUCCUCUGACACUGUAUGUUCUGAGGUCCCUCCCACUCUGAGGUUUCUGUCCCGAGGACUUUCCCAGCCUGGAUGUCCUGUGUCCUAAGGUUCCCUCCC